GGGAGGGGAGAGGAGAGGAGAGGAGAGGGAAGAAGACGAGGCAGAGGAGGGCAGGGAGGAGCGGAGAGAAGAGAGGAGAGGAAGGAGGGAAGAAGAGAGGAGCCGCGGAGAGGAGCCGAGCGGAGAGGGAGCGGGCGGCCCGGCGAGAGCUCUUUUGCGCCGCUGCGCUUCCCCGGCUGCAAUGGUGUAUUAUUUCAGAGCGCUCCCUCAGCUGAGGGCUCCGCUCCACAACAAGAUUUACUUUAAGACACAGCUGAAGGAAACAGGAAGACUGCACGUCACAGUCUGACUGACGUACCCGGCCCCAGCACCCAAUCGCGAGGCGCCUUCGGAUUCAAGGGGGGAUAGCGAGGCAAGAGAACUUGGGAGGAAAAAAAAAAUAUAAAAGGGGUGGGGGGUGAGGGGCUGGGAGGAGAGGAGGGGAGAGGGGCCCCGCGCUCCCCCUCCCCCGCCUCCAUCCCCGGCCCCCACCCCCGCCCCCGCCCUGCCCACCGCUUCGGGGCGACUGGAUCGCCGCGCCGGGGCCGGAGCGAGCCAUCUGCGGGCACUGUGCAAAGCGGGCGACGGUGCGAGCGGCGCUCGGCUCACACUCGCUCGUCCUGGACGCAGAUGGCAAACCUUUCCUACAGAAGCUGCCCAUCAGACCAGUGAAACCCGCAGGACGAAAAGUUCUAUUCAAGAAGGGAACAACAAGGAGGAAAAAAAGGUCAACAUUCCCAGGACAGAAGAGCUCCUUGGCAUCGGAACCCUCCUGGUCCAGUGAGGGAGGGAUGCGGGUCGCUCGUGUAUGAGGAUACACAGCCAUCAUCCAAAACUUCCCAGUUCAGGUGGAAGGAAGAGGUUGGACCAGAACUUGGGAUCCGAGUUGCCCAAAGGAUGGUUCGGACGGUGUGAGUGAGUCACAGAAGGUAAGCUAUGCUCAAGAACUUUCAAAAGUUAUUUUUCCAGUUUGUCCAUUCUUAUCUCCAUGGAGGACAAAUAGGUUCGUUACGCUUUUAUUCCAACUCCUCUGCGUCUUGCAAUUGCUAGUUGUGCGAUCCUGUAAUUUAGUAACUCUGUGCUUCAGUUUCUGCAAAAAAAGAAAAAUUAGGAUGAUAAUAAUAAAUAACUCAUCUCUUAGGAUUGUUGUGAAGAUUCCAUGAGUUAAUCCGCAUAAAGGUUUCUGAACCGCGUCUGGCAUAUAGCAAGUGUUCAAGAAAUGUUGAUAAUUAUUGUUGAUACGAUUCAUUUCUAUGGAAGUUUGCAUUUUUGCCUUUAUUUUCUGAUGAUUGUCCUGUCCAGUUCCCAUGGCCAUUAUGCUAAUUCUUUGGGUUGGUUUUAUGGAAAUAGACUGGUAACAGAGUGGUUAAGCUAUUGGCUUUGCCGUCGAACAGAAUCAAGUUGAAGUUCUUGAAGUAACAAUCAAUAGCUGUAUCUCCUCAAGAAGUGACUUAAUUUCUCCAGGCCUCAGUUUCUUCAUCUAUAAAAUAAGGAUGACAAUAAUCAUACCUGCUUCAUAACGUGACAGUGGUUGAACAUUAUCUGGCAAAGAUGUAAAAGCAUGUUGGUAUUGUUAUUAUUUUUGCUGCCCCAAAUAUACCGAAUAGCUCACUUAUAGUCAAAAGUGCCU